rnacentral:rRNA from 1 species
AGCGAACGCUGGCGGCAGGCCUAACACAUGCAAGUCGAACGGAUCCUUCGGGAUUAUUGGCGGACGGGUGAGUAACACGUGGGAACGUGCCCUUUGGUUCGGAACAACUCAGGGAAACUUGAGCUAAUACCGGAUGUGCCCUUCGGGGGAAAGAUUUAUCGCCAUUUGAGCGGCCCGCGUCUGAUUAGCUAGUUGGUGAGGUAACGGCCCACCAAGGCGACGAUCAGUAGCUGGUCUGAGAGGAUGAUCAGCCACACUGGGACUGAGACACGGCCCAGACUCCUACGGGAGGAAGCAGUGGGGAAUCUUGCGCACUGGGCGAAAGCCUGACGCAGCCAUGCCGCGUGAAUGAUGAAGGUCUUAGGAUUGUAAAAUUCUUUCAGCGGGGACGAUAAUGACGGUACCCGCAGAAGAAGCUCCGGCUAACUUCGUG